AGGCCAGUAGCUCUAAUUGGAUAGAGCGCCGGACUCCAAAUCCGGAUGCUGGGGGUUCAAGUCCCUCCUGGCCUGCCA
rnacentral:tRNA from 1 species